rnacentral:rRNA from 1 species
UAUUAGAGGCAUUGCCUGCCCAGUGACUAAAGUUAAACGGCCGCGGUAUCCUGACCGUGCAAAGGUAGCAUAAUCACUUGUUCCUUAAUUAGGGACUAGAAUGAAUGGCUAAACGAGGGUUCAACUGUCUCUUACUUUCAAUCAGUGAAAUUGACCUUCCAGUGAAGAGGCUGGAAUCUCCCAAUAAGACGAGAAGACCCUAUGGAGCUUUAAUUUACUAGUUCAACUUAUAUAAAAACAACCUAAUGGGCUAAAACAAAAUAAAUAUGAACUAAAAAAUUUCGGUUGGGGUGACCUCGGAGAAUAAAAAAUCCUCCGAAUGAUUUUAACCUAGACUCACAAGUCAAAGUAAUACUAAUAUCUUAUUGACCCAAUUAUUGAUCAACGGACCAAGUUACCCUAGGGAUAACAGCGCAAUCCUAUUUAAGAGUUCAUAUCGACAAUUAGGGUUUACGACCUCGAUGUUGGAUCAGGACAUCCCAAUGGUGCAGAAGCUAUUAAUGGUUCGUUUGUUCAACGAUUAAAGUCCUACGUGAUCUGU